GUUAAGUGUAUGAAUCUUACUAAUUUAGAGCUUUUCUUAAAGACUGGACAUUACGUCUAGGCGAAGCGCAUACGUAUAUGCAAAUUAAUUGUAAAACUUUUGUUAGGCAAAUGAACUACGCCCUAAAACCCGAUCCGACGGCGUCGUGUACUGUAGGCCUAUUAAUUUUGGUCAUUACGUUUUAUUGGUUUGGAUGGAGCUGACAUGAUUUGUCUCGAUUUGUUUUUGCCUUAGGGGCAAUAUCAACUUCAUCAUUUUGCUAUAAUUUUAGCAGACACAUAAUAUGGAUUUGUUUUAUCGACGAGCUAAUCAUAUUUUAUGCUGCUAUGUCAGGAAGGAGUUUUAGAUGAUUUCUUGGUGUAUUUUUUAACCCACAUACGUGGGUUUUUGGUAUCGAGGUUCUAAAGGCAGAGCCGUAUCAACAGUGAGUACUGAGGGUGCUUACGGAAACUCCGGACGGGACAGAAGUCUCGGGAAUCGCCCUCCAGUGUGACGUCAUAGUGAUGAGUCAUCGAUGUUCGGAUUCGCCAUUGAUCGCGAUAAACUCGUCAGUUUUCUUCAAUGGGCCCCAACGAAAUGAUAACAGCUAAGGACUUUAUGUUAUUCGAAAUGAAAUUUCAUUAUGAAUUUAUUCGUUGAUGUUACGCCAUAUUAUUCACAGAAGUGAACGCAUUGAAUUUAAUUAUGAUUAAAGAUAUUUCAUUUGAUUUGUAAUUCCAA